rnacentral:rRNA from 1 species
GUGGGGAAUUUUGGACAAUGGGCGCAAGCCUGAUCCAGCAAUGCCGCGUGCAGGAAGAAGGCCUUCGGGUUGUAAACUGCUUUUGUACGGAACGAAACGGUCCUGGUUAAUACCCGGGGCUAAUGACGGUACCGUAAGAAUAAGCACCGGCUAACUACGUGCCAGCAGCCGCGGUAAUACGUAGGGUGCAAGCGUUAAUCGGAAUUACUGGGCGUAAAGCGUGCGCAGGCGGUUUUGUAAGACAGGCGUGAAAUCCCCGGGCUCAACCUGGGAACUGCAUUGGUGACUGCAAGGCUGGAGUGCGGCAGAGGGGGAUGGAAUUCCGCGUGUAGCAGUGAAAUGCGUAGAUAUGCGGAGGAACACCGAUGGCGAAGGCAAUCCCCUGGGCCUGCACUGACGCUCAUGCACGAAAGCGUGGGGAGCAAACAGGAUUAGAAACCCCUGUAGUCC